rnacentral:lncRNA from 1 species
UAAUUUACAUUUCUAGAGAACAAGCUCUUUAUGGUACAUAGAAAUAAUCCUGUCAUACAGUGACCAUUCAGAGAGGGAUAAAAACCUUAUAUAUGAAACUUUCACUAAUAACCUGAAACAUCACCACAGAGACAGUUGGGUUAUCCUGUUUGUUUGGACAUCCACUUAUUCACUUGAAAUGCAGGAAAUCUAUUUGAAAAAAACAAAACAAAACAUGAUCAGUUACUUGAUACAAUCAUGAGAUGUGAUCGAGAAAAACUUAUUAAGGAAUUAUUUUGUCAGAGUCAGUCUCUCUCAACAAGAUUUACAGGCCAGUUGUUGACAUUGUAGUAUCCUCUCUUUGAACACUGGAAUUGAGCAACUUCAAAGAGUCAUUGGACCAAGGUCUUCAUGCUUCAAAUAAACCUGCAUCAAAGAAACCUGGCUAGAAGACAAAGAUCAUGCUUUAUUCCCCCACAAAAGGAUUAUGUUUAGAUUUAAUGUUGAUGCCUCAGUUAAGUGCUCACUUUGAAAAUCAAUACAACAUUGUGUGCUUGGUUGGCUCAAUACCUCUCAGUCAAUAUUAAUAAAAAAACAGCAACAAA